UACGUAGGGUGCGAGCGUUGUCCGGAAUUAUUGGGCGUAAAGAGCUUGUAGGCGGUCUGUCGCGUCUGCUGUGAAAAUCCGGGGCUCAACCCCGGACUUGCAGUGGGUACGGGCAGACUAGAGUGUGGUAGGGGAGACUGGAAUUCCUGGUGUAGCGGUGAAAUGCGUAGAGAUCGGGAGGAACACCAGUGGCGAAGGCGGCUUUCUGGGUCCGCCCUGACGCUGAGGCGCGAAAGCGUGGGGAGCGAACGGG
rnacentral:rRNA from 1 species